UUUAUCGAGAGCACGAGAGAGAGAUUUUGUGACUCCAAACUUCUUACUCUCUGUUUCGAUAAAGGCGACAUAGACAGAUUUUGUGAGGAGAUUUGACAGCUUGGGAGAUUCCGAGAUAACGACGAGGCGGAGGCGACAAUGGAAAGAGCAUGGUGUCAAGGAGGAAACCUUCGACAAUGGACCCGACGAGAGAUUACCUGAGUGGUUAUUUGUGACGAACCGAUACCGUGAACUUAAUGGCAACCCAGAACGACUCACGAGGCGGAGGCGGCAAUGGAAAGAGCAUGGCGUCAUAGAUUCGCUGGAGAUUUGGGUGGUUAUUUGUCAAAGAUGUAUUUCUUCCAUGGUACAAUGUGUAUCGCUUCCUUGUUCAGAAUGCAAAGAGGCUUGAGAUUGAGGGUUAUGGACCAUUUGUUCCUACUGAUCUAGCAACUUUAGGGUCAUCAAACGUUCUAGAUCGACGGACCGGAUUUGACGGCGAGGCGGAGGCGACCAGGCAUUUAUGAGUUGGUUACAUACAAUUAUAUGUUUCAGUCUAUGUACGGCGAAAACGUAAUCCACGUGUACAUUUUCAAAGUCUACAUGUACACUAAAGCUUCACAAUAGUAUCCAUAUGUACACCUUUUUUUAAAAGCUACAUGUACACCUGGUAGCAAGAUCAUGUGUACACCACAAUUACUUUUAGUUUUGGUCAAGAAAUAUGAAACAAUUUGAAAGAAGAUUUGUUUAUUAUUGGAGAAUAAAUCUCAGUUAAGGUUUGAUGUUUGAGUAAAAUGGUUGUUUAUAUGGAGAUUAGUUAGUUAGAUUUAUGACCAUAUUGUGAAGAGAGUUUGAUGUGUGUAGUAUGUAAAUCAUCUACUAAGAGUCACAUAGUGUAGCUUGUGGGUAGUGUGUACACGUUGAUAACUAUAUUUGCUUCUGUAUAUGUACACCAGAUUUCGGUUGUACACAUGGAUACUUGAGG